rnacentral:rRNA from 1 species
GACGAACGCUGGCGGCGUGCUUAACACAUGCAAGUCGAACGGAAAGGCCCUGCUUUUGCGGGGUGCCCGAGUGGCGAACGGGUGAGUAACACGUGAGUAACCUGCCCUUGACUUUGGGAUAACUUCAGGAAACUGGGGCUAAUACCGGAUAGGAGCUCCUGCUGCAUGGUGGGGGUUGGAAAGUUUCGGCGGUUGGGGAUGGACUCGCGGCUUAUCAGCUUGUUGGUGGGGUAGUGGCUUACCAAGGCUUUGACGGGUAGCCGGCCUGAGAGGGUGACCGGCCACAUUGGGACUGAGAUACGGCCCAGACUCCUACGGGAGGCAGCAGUGGGGAAUAUUGCACAAUGGGCGGAAGCCUGAUGCAGCAACGCCGCGUGCGGGAUGACGGCCUUCGGGUUGUAAACCGCUUUCGCCUGUGACGAAGCGUGAGUGACGGUAAUGGGUAAAGAAGCACCGGCUAACUACGUG